rnacentral:misc_RNA from 1 species
UCAAACUUGGUCAUUUAGAGGAAGUAAAAGUCGUAACAAGGUUUCCGUAGGUGAACCUGCGGAAGGAUCAUUAUUGAAGUUGAUUCGGGUUGUCGCUGGCUCUCAGGAGCAUGUGCACGCUCGUUCAUAUUCAUAUUCUCUUGUGCACCUUUAGCUAGACUAUUGAAUACCUCUCGAGCAAAAAUCUCGGAUGGAGGGUUGCAUUUCGGUGCUUCCCUUGCAUUUUCAUAGUCUAUGCAUAUCAUAUACUCUUCUGUAUGUUUUAGAAUGUUCUUUUUGUGGGUUCUUUGUAACCUAUAAAAUGUCAGUACAACUUUCAACAACGGAUCUCUUGGCUCUCGCAUCGAUGAAGAACGCAGC